ACAGAGGGUGCAAGCGUUAAUCGAAGUUACUGGGCGUAAAGCGUGCGUAGGCGGAUAUUUAAGUCGAGCGUGAAAUCCCCGGGCUCAACCUGGGAACUGCGUUCGAUACUGGGUAUCUAGAGUAUGGUAGAGGAAGGUGGAAUUUCCGGUGUAGCGGUGAAAUGCGUAGAUAUCGGAAAGAACAUCAGUGGCGAAGGCGACCUUCUGGACCUAUACUGACGCUGAGGUACGAAAGCGUGGGGAGCAAACAG
rnacentral:rRNA from 1 species